UACACGCUGUGACUAGCAUAUCAAUAAGCGGAGGAAAAGAAACUAACAAGGAUUCCCCUAGUAACGGCGAGUGAAGCGGGAGGAGCUCAAAUUUGAAAUCUUAAAGGGUUUCCCUUUACGAAUUGUAGUUUAAAGAAGUGUUUUCUGUUGAGGUUUUGGUAAAAGUUCUUUGGAAUAGGACAUCAUAGAGGGUGAGAAUCCCGUAUUUGACCUUUACUUUCAACUUUGUGAUACACUUUCAAAGAGUCGGAUUGUUUGGGAAUGCAGUCCAAAAUGGGUGGUAAAUUUCAUCUAAAGCUAAAUAUUGGCGAGAGACCGAUAGCGAACAAGUACCGUGAGGGAAAGAUGAAAAGAACUUUGAAGAGAGAGCUAAACAGUACGUGAAAUUGUCAAAAGGGAAGCGUUUGACACCAGUGUUGUUUUUCUGAAAAUCAAUUAAAGAACUGUUUAUGCUAAGUUGUUUAGACUUUAUCAGCUAACUGUUUAGUUUUGAGCUUUUCUUUAAUGCACUUUUCAGUUAACAAGUCAACAUCAAUUUCUUUUGCUGUAAAAAAGCUUGAGGAAGGUGGCUUGAGAUUCGUCUUAAGUGUUUAUAGCCUCUUGCCUAUGCAGUCGGAGAGAUUGAGGUCUGCAGCGUAGAUCCUUCGGGGCUAAAUGCAUUUGUGCUAAGUUAUAACAUUUUAUAGACAACUUGUUGACUAUGAUUUGUCUUGUAGCUUACUCGCUUAUGUUAUUUUACCUACGCUUAGGAUGUUGACAGCAGUAUAGACUGU
rnacentral:rRNA from 1 species